CUUUCAUUGUUUUUUGUGCAAUGAUUCAGCUUUAACAGGCGUGGAGAGAAUGCCGGCCCCGGCACAAAUGCACUCAUACAAAGAACAAAGACAACGGAGGGACUUGACCCUACAUAUUUCCACGUCCUAGGCCCAAAAUAUGGAAGAGAUUUGACAUUUACCAUCUCUAACAGCAGAAACACUUCUCUAACAUUUGAGAAAAACUUCAAAGUGUUAAGGAAGAAAAGAGAAAGUUUCAUUCCAAACUACGGAGUUUGCUCAUGGCACAGCAUUUGUUAGUGGCUUGGAGGGCUGGUUGAUCACCUGGUAUUAGCUCCUCUCCCUUGUUUUUGACUGGUAAGUAAUAUUAAGAGGUAUUCAAAACCUCCAGUCCUUUUCUGGCUUUCCUUCCAUGCUAGUGAAGUUGCUGCAGGAUAUA
rnacentral:lncRNA from 1 species